GCACGGUGGCUUAGUGGUUAGCAUUCACCUCACACCUCCAGGAUCCGGGGUUCGAGUCCCGCCGGCG